AUCACGCAACAUAUGUACACAAAUGACAUGUUCCAACCAAUCGACAAGACGACAAAUUCCCAUUGGCGAAACAUCGCUCACAAAUUUGCUCCCAAAUCCUUCUUUUUCUUUUUCUUUUUGUCUAUGUUUUUUUUCUUCUUUUUCUUUUUUUUUU
rnacentral:ribozyme from 13 species